rnacentral:rRNA from 1 species
AACGAACGCUGGCGGCGUGCCUAAGACAUGCAAGUCGUGCGAGAAAGGGGCUUCGGCCCUGAGUACAGCGGCAUCCGGGUGAGUAACGCGUGGGUAACCUACCUCGAAGUCUGGGAUAAC